UACGGAGGAUGCGAGCGUUAUCCGGAUUUAUUGGGUUUAAAGGGUGCGUAGGCGGACCGUUAAGUCAGUGGUCAAAUUGAGGGGCUCAACCCCUUCCCGCCAUUGAAACUGGCGAUCUUGAGUGGAAGAGAAGUAUGCGGAAUGCGUGGUGUAGCGGUGAAAUGCAUAGAUAUCACGCAGAACCCCGAUUGCGAAGGCAGCAUGCCGGCUUCCUACUGACGCUGAAGCACGAAAGCGUGGGGAUCGAACAGG
rnacentral:rRNA from 1 species